CGUCAUGCGGGCAGCCUGGCUGAGCUGGCGGCCGAUCUCGCCGGCCGAGGCGGUCAGUUCGUCGCUGGCGGUGGCGAC
rnacentral:tRNA from 1 species